GCUCCUUCUUUGUUGGACCGAUCAAAGGUCAGAUCAAUCCAAGGUCGUGUUGUCUAAAAGUCAAUUAAAAGCUCCUUCUACAUUAGACCGAUCAAAAAUCAGGCUAAUCAAGGCCAUGUUGUCUAAAAGCCGAUCAAAAGCUCCUAUGUUGGGUUGAUCAAAGGCUAGAUCGAUCAAAUGCUGUGUUGUCUAAAAAUCGAUCAAAG
rnacentral:lncRNA from 1 species